CAUAACAGAAUUAUUGGUCCUAUUCCCCAAUCCAUGGGAAAUUUGACAAACUUAGAAUCAUUGGAUCUCUCCUCAAAUAUGCUCACUGGUGGGAUACCUACGGAAUUAAGCAACUUGAACUUCCUUGAAGUCCUAAAUCUUUCCAAUAACCAUCUUGCUGGAGAAAUACCUCGAGGACAACAGUUCAGUACUUUUACCAAUGAUUCCUAUGAGGGAAACUCUGGGUUAUGUGGACUCCCACUGACAAUCAAAUGCAGCAAGGACCCUGAACAACAUUCUCCACCUUCAACUACCUUGAGGAGAGAAGGAGGAUUUGGAUUUGGUUGGAAACCAGUGGCUAUAGGAUAUGGAUGUGGAAUGGUCUUUGGAGUGGGAAUGGGAUGUUGUGUAUUGUUAAUAGGAAAGCCUCAAUGGCUUGUGAGAAUGGUCGGAGGUAAACCCAAUAAAAAGGUGAAAAGGAAGACAAGGAUGAGAUCUAAUGAAAAUGGUAGCAGAAUGAAUUAGUUGAUAUAUGGCAUGACUGGAGAAUGUCUUGUUACAUACCUGCCAUCUUUGAAAACAAAACUUAAGGGCAAGAACUUUAUCACACUGCAUUGCAUGGGAGAUCUGGUUCAAAGUUUUGCUGUAAUAUGAAUGUGUUAUACUCUUGCUUUUGUCGUAUAACUGUGGCAUUAAUUGGUUGUAUAAUAAUAGAUGUUGUAUAUUUUUAAAAAUGGUAUGUAUUGGCCAAUGCUAAAAUAUUUUGUAUCUUAAUUCAAGGAGCUGAAUUCACGGUUUUAGCUUCCAUUGUAGUCUAUUUAAUUAAUUUUCUAACUAUUUAACCACCGUGACAUGGCUUUAGAAGCUGAGGGGUCCAGGGACUUAACUAUAAGAGCACAAACAAUGCAUACUAAAAAGUUGCAUAUUUAUUUUUAUAGCCUAGGCCUCAUGGUCCGUAGGAUAUCACAUAUUUAUUUUUUAUUAAGUAAUUUUUCCCAAAUUAGAACAAUUGUCUGGUGAAAAUUUUCAAACUUUGAAAUAAAAGUUGCAGUACUAAAAUCAGUUAUAAUUAAACCUAAACUUUUUCUUUUUCAAUUACUAUUACGAUAAAUUGGUAGUGGUACGUGCUGUAAAUAUUACAUCUACUUAUAAUGUCAGCACCCAAAAAUUAUUUUUAUAAUGUAAAAUUUACAUUGUCAUUAAUUUGCUUUAUUAAUUUUUAUUAUAACUAUUUUAAAUUUAUAUUAUUAUCAUAAAAUCUGAAAAAUCGUAUCUAUAAUUUUUAAUUAAGCGUAAAAUUUUGUAACUUUUAUAAAUUUUAGUAAAUAUUAAAAAAAUAUAUAAUAUAAUGCUAGUAUUUUUCAAAAAAAUCAACAUUAUCAUUAAAUAAACCUGUGUGUUGUACAAUAAUUCCCUUUUAUCAUUCAAAAGAAAAAUUGAAACUGUUAUUCAAAAUAAAAUAACCAUUAGUGAAUUUUAUGAUAAUUACCUUAAUGAUUAAAUAUAUUUAGUUAAUUUUUUUUGCUCCCUAAUAAAUUUUUGUUUUGUUUUGAGUACUAUAUAAAACAAUAAUUUUAUUUUUGGUCCUAGAUAUUUUGUUGUAUAUAAUCCCUAAUAAGUUAGCAAAUUUUUGUUUACUUCCUUUUAAAUUAACAAAUUUUGUUUUAGUCCCAACUAAUAACAAAUGAAAAAAAUUAUCAAGAAAUAAACACACAAUUUGUGAAUCUAUCAGGGACUAAGAAAAGUAUCAAGAACCAAAAUAAAAUGAUUUUUUUAUUAGAAACUCAACGAAAAGUAAAAAUUUAUUAAAAAUUAAAUACAAAAAAUAAAUAUUUAUUAGGGAUUAAAAUUAUAAUUAAAACUUGUCUUAAAUAUUAAAUCUAUUAUAAUUAUUAAUUGGUUCACAACAUAUAAAUAUUUACACUUGUUAAAAUAUACUAUAAUUUCUCUUAAAUUAUUAGGUAAAAUUGGUAAGAGUGUGAGAAACUUAAUUAUUUAUCAAUACCAGCUAUGUGAAUGAACUAAUGUGGGUUUUUGAGCUAGAGACUCUUGGGAAAAAAAUAUUGUCUCAUAAUGAGAAGAAUACAUCAUAAAAAAAUAGAAAAUAUAAAAAUUUGUUUAAUAUGUUUCAACCCUCAUCCUUGCAUUGACAAUAUUAUACAUUUUAAGGAUAACAUAGAAAAAUUUACAAACAUUUUCUCCUUACGAUUUCCCCUCUGUUUGUUAGGGUAGUGACAGUUUCUUCGCACUAGAUGUGGUGAUUCUUCUCAUCUCAAAAAAUCUCUAUUUAUAAACCUAACAUUCUAAUAUUAACUGAAUUCAAAUCCUUAAUUUAUAAAUAAUAUAUUUAAUUCUAAAUGAUAUCCUAAAAAUAAGAUAAUAUCUUUUUUAAAAGCUAAACAAUAUCCUAUAGAUUUGUUAUUCAUUGAUUGAACCAUCAUUAAUUCCUACAUCCACAACUUUUAUAUAAGAUUUUAUGACAAGCAAGACAAACUUGCAAACCUUCCCUUGAUAUGACUCAUCUCUCUUAGGGUAUUGACCUAGGUUGAGUGAUUAUUCUUAUCUCAUAAAUCUUAUUUUAUAGACAUAACAUUCUAAUCUUAAAUGAGGAAACAAAUACCUAAUUUAUUAAUAAUAUAUUUAAUUUUAUCAACAUUCUAAAAAUAAGAUAAUAUCUUUUUUUAAGAAAAUAAAUAUCUUAUAGAUUUGAGAAUACAAAUAAGAUAUAUCUAACAAGAAGCAAAGUUGGACUUAUGUAGAUCAACCAACUAAUCCCUAUACCCACUCAUCACCUAAGCUCAGCCAAAACUCGCUUAGGCCUCAACCCUGCAUCGCUUAAGCUCUUAGCCAACACCACUUAAGCUACAUAAAAAAACAUGCUAAUUUUUGUGCCCAUUCUAGCUUAAGCGCUACCCAACACCAUUUAAGCUACUUCAAACUAAUUUACUCAAAUUAAAAAGAAUAAUGAUUCAACUAUUUAAUCACUACACAUUAAAUACCUAAUUUAUUUUCCGCACAUCACGCAACUGGUCCAUUUAUCUUUUUUAUUUAUUUCUUACAUGUAAUUUUCUUUUUAUUUUUUAAAAUCCAAAAUUUUCAUCUCUAUUUUAAAAUAAAGAUAUUUAAUCGAUUGUUUUUUACGAUCUAUAAUUUUAAUUUUCUAUUUUAAAAUAGAAAUAUUAGUCAUUUAUAUUUAUAAAAUAUGGAAUUUUAGUUAUCCCCAACUAAAAGCUUUGAUUGUUAAGAGCUUAAUCUUUAUUAUGAUAUAGAUUAACUAAAUUAUCUUGUGUCACAUUAUUAGAUUUGAAUCACAUCAAGUUAGCUUCUUACUAAUCAACGCUAAAUGAUUAUGUGGAUAUAAUCACAAAUGAUCAAAAUUAUAAAUUUUAUAACCUUAAGUAAUUAAUUGUUUUUAUUUUAAAAUAGAAGUAUUAAAAUUGUAAAAUAUAAAAAUUAAGACGGUCAAAUAUUUUUUAAAAUAUAGAAAUCAAAAUUAGAUAUUUUGAAAAUAGGAAAAAAUUACAUUUAAGUUUUUAUUUUUAUUUUUUACCGGAGGUCCAUAUGUCUAGUACUUAGAAAUCACGUCAUUAUAAAAAUGCGCCACUAGAGCAUAAUAUAAUAGCAUGAAGGACGUCAUUAUAAUUACAUUUAAGCCAUGAAGAACGUUGUUAUAUAUGCCAAUCCGCAAUACAUGGAAACUUCUGUUAUGGUUAGUGACACCAACAACACUGAUCAUGAAACCAACUACGCUGAUUCUGUGACUGUAACAAAAAAAAACAAUUACUAUGAAAAUGGACAAAAUUCGAAAUGACUUUGUAAGCAUUGCACAACAGAUUUGUAGGAGAGAUAUUCCAAAUGCCAUUGGAGAGCUUCACUCACUCAGAGGGCUAAACCUUUCCCAUAACAGAUUUAUUGGUCCUAUUCUACAAUCCAUUGGAAAUUUGACAAAGUUAGAAUCAUUGGAUCUCUCCUCAAAUAUGCUCACUGGCGGGAUACCUAGAGAAUUAAGCAAUUUGAACUUUCUUGAAGUCCAAAAUCUUUCCAAUAACCAUCUUGCAUUUGUGGGAGAAAUACCUCAAGGAAAACAGUUCAGUACUUUUUCCAAUGACUCCUAUGGUAGAAACUUGGGGUUGUGUGGACUCCCAUUGACAGCAGAAUGCAGCAAGGACCUUGAACAACAUUCUCCACCUUCACUAACCGUUGGGGGAGAACAGGGAGUUGGAUUUGGUUGGAAACCAGUGGCUAUGUGAUAUGGAUGCGGAAUGGUCUUUGGAGUGGGAAUGGGAUGUUGUGUAUUGUUAAUAGGAAAGCCUCAAUGGCUAGUGAGAAUGGUUGGAGGUCAACUCAAUAAAAAGGUGAAAUGGAAGACAAGGAUGAGAGCUAAUGAGAAUGGUAGCAGACUGAAUUAGUUGAUAUGUGGCAUGACUGUAGAAUGUCUUCUUGCACACCUUCCUGUUGAAAUUCAAUUCUGCCUUGUUGGAAAACAAAACUUAAGGGCAAGAACCUUAUCACACUGCAUUGCAUAUGCAUGCGAGAUCUGAUUCAAAGUUUAGUUGUAAUUGUAAUAUGGUGUUGUACUUUUUUUUCUUUGUGUUCAAUAAAUGAGUGUGAUAUACUUUUUUUUUUCUUCCAUUGCCCCAGAAACUCGGGUCUGAAUCAUCCAAAAGUUUGAUAAUUUUUCUGUUCAUUAAUACGCUUAGAUUGUUUUAUUUUUUUAAACUUUUUUAUAUUGGUGAAUAGUAUCAAGUUAAGUAGUGAAUAAUGUGUUGACAAUCAACAAUCAUUUCGCUAAUAUGCUGCAUAUUAGAAAAUUGUAGCAGUCAUUAAUACCAAUUUGCAUUAUGCACGCUAUUUUGAUCCCAUUGCUGUUGUGGAAGUAGUUUUGCUCCAGACAAGGAAUGGAAAUUGACCAGGAAUUUUGUUUUUUUGUGCCAUCGAUUGAGUUUGUAUAAGUGAAGAUAUGUUGAUCUUCUGACAACCUUUUUUUUUUCGAAAUUAUAAUAAUUACUAGUUCGCUAUCUAAAUUCAUGGGAAAUUGAAAAUUGAUUCCCACGAAACUGUAUUCUUCUUCUACAUUACACUUCUCAGGUGUUCAUAGAAGUCCUCUUCCUACUGGUAAGCCGUAUCAUAUUCACUCUCCCUUGCAUUCUGAUUUUUACUUAUAAAUAAGUUAAUGUCUAAGAGCAGGGUUGAAUGAGCGUAAAAAAAGAGAUAUUUUCUAUGAAGUUUUAAAACAAAUUUUACCGAAUUACAUUGUAAUUGAUCAAAUUCCAGAACCAGCCAUUUUGUAUUCUGUUCUGUUAGGCUCUAGCGUAGCUAACCCUAUACGAACUGGCUUAGCACACUUUACAUUAGUGGUUGGGUCUUGAACAUAUAUAGUUUCUUAUGCUUUAAAUUAAUAUUAAGCAUUGUGUUACUUCUAUGAUUGAGACAGCUAAUAGAGGAUGGGGUUGGAUUUUGGAAAUAAGGGGCUCAGAUACAAGUCUAGAUCCUCUUUAGUUUGUGAACUAAAAUUUUUGUUUUGGUUUUGCCUAUCUCUUAAUCUCUUAAGCUAUUAAAAUUAUUCUAGAAUCCACCUAAAGUUUUUUAUUCAAAAAUAAGUGUUGGAGUCUUAAGAUAAUGGUAUCAAGUUUAUUUAUGUAAUUUGUUUUUGGUGACCUAUUGCGGAAAAUCUUUUUAGUAUUUACUUUCUUGGAUUUUUCAAAAAAUUGAUAUUAGAGUCAAUCUUCGAUUUAGUGACCGGUUUAGACGAGGAAGAUGACGUUGAUGAAUUUAUGGAUAUAGAAUUUAUUGUAUCAAAAGUCUUUCUAUCAGCUGAAUUCAUGCAUAAAUGUCACGUAGCAAAGUUGUAGGUGUUACAAUAGUGCAAGCUACUAGAACAUGUUAUGACAAUGGCUAGACAAGCUAGAGACAAUAAAAAUUAAGUUUUAUGGGUCACCAUUAAAUAUUCUUAGAUUGAAAAUGACUUUCGGUCUUGACUUGAGAGCCUUUUUCUUAGUUUACACCUCGGCUGUGCCAUUAACAAUUGAUAAUGCUGUCUAGCAAGCUAUAUUGUGAAGAUAAAUACUUCUCUCCAUAUUUGUCCAUUUUACAUAUUUCCUGGUGUCAAAAUAUUAUUUUUAUUGUAUUUUUAUAUUUCCUGGUGUCAAGUAUCAAUGAUAAGUUUUACCAAAAAAUAAUAAUCAAUAACUAUAGUUAUGUAUAUAAGGAUAAUAAUUAUUUGACCUCUACAACAGGAUCCUAGUAUGAAGUAGUUCUGUAUGUAAAUCUUGCACAGACAAGCCAAAAUAAUAUAGCAUUGAUCAACCUGUUAAUUAGAAGAAUCAAGUUAAAAGCAGCUUGAAAAAGAGCAGGUAUAUGUAAAUAAUAGAAUACGGGGCCAUCUUGCAGUUGAGAGCGUCAUCUUUCUCCUCAUUUUGGAAUCACUCAAAUCCAAAUUUUGUAGAUUGAGAUAAUAUCAAAAUUUAAAACUUGUUCUAGGUCGUGUUUGGUGUGCAAAUUCUAUCUUAGAAGAUCCAAUUUGAACCAAGCACGUGGUUUCCCAUCACUUCUAUACUUGAAAAUAUAAAUAUGCUACAUUAAAGAGUUUUAUUCCAUUGAAUAUUCUUUCAGAAAAUGAUUUCGCAUUGGAUGUUCCUUCUUUCUAAAUGUGAUCUUUAAAACAAUGUAGAAUUUAUAAAAAAAAAUUGCGUGUAAUGUUCCUUCUUUAACAAAGGGGUCUUUGAACAAUUUUAAAUUUUAUAAACAUUUACUAAUUCUUUUUCUGUCGAUCACCAGAGGCUUAGUAUUAGAAUUUCAAAAUUUAGAUGUGAAAGGACGAAAACUGCAAUGUGAAAAGUGAAAGUUGUUACGUGGAAGUAUAUAUGGCAAAACGAAAAGAAAAAUUGGAAAGAACAAACUCCGUGUGAGCAUCACUAAUUAAAGUUAAAGUUGGACUAAAUUAAAAGAACCAAUAAAAACAAAAGUAAGAUCACUAAUUAAAGUUAAAGUUAGACUAAAAAAAAGAACCAAUACAAACAAAAGUAAGAGAAAUAAAAGGCAACAACUUACAGGUACCUCUCCAAAUACUUGCAAGCUUAAUAAAAUAAUUAAUGAAAAUCUAAUAAUAAAAAAUGGAGGAAAUAGCCAACAUACCUGCAAUAUAUUACCAUGCAUUGUUACAUCUCUACCACAAAACAUGAAUAUCUAAUCUUAUUGGAAACGAUAUUAAUGGAUGAAAUGAUAAACAUCUCUUUUUAAACCUUAUACAUCAUUCACAUAAUUAUUUCAUGUAUCUUGUUUAACAUUUUCUAAUUUUAAUUUAUAUUUUCUUCUUCGUAAAUAUAAAGAUAUGUACACCAAUUAACAAAGUUCAUGUUGUUUACAACUUCCUUUAAAAACAAUGUUGUUUACAACUUAUUUUCUACAUUAAUUAUUAUCUUAAUCUUUUUUUUUCAAACAAAACUCAUACUCAAUUUUUCAUAUAAAAAUUAGUUCUAACAUUUAAUUUUAUUCUCAAUGUUAAGCAACCACAUUAAUAACACUUUCAAAUCAUCCACCGUAUUCUAACAAUGUCCAACUCCUAAAUUGUGACAGAUAUAAGUUUUCUAACUUAUAAAUAUUUUAAUUACUAAAUUAAAUUUUUGACAAAUAUUAAUUUUAAAAAUAUGUUAAUUUUAUACAUAUGCUUUCAACGAAUAUUUUAGAAUUAUGUAUUUUUUAAUUUAAUAUAAUAUUUUUUUAAAUAUUUCUAACAUCUUGAAAUUAUAUCAUAUACAAUUAUUAAUUUACAAAUAACUUUAUAAAUGAUAUAAUUUUGACAAAUAAAUUUUUUAUGUAUAAUUUCAAAAAAUAUUUUAUAAUUUAAUUUUUUUAUAGUUUAAGGUAAUAUUUAUAUUUUAAAUAUUUUUUCUCCGAAUUAUAGUUUAAGGUAAUUUAUUUUUCAAGGGUUAAUAUUAUUGUUAGAGUCUGUUUAGCAAGCACUAUGAGUCUGUUUCACAAGUCACUCCAGUAGCUUAUAAUUUUGUUUGACUAGCAUAUAAGUUGAUUUUAUCAAAAUAAGUUUGGGUAUCAAAACAAACUUAAUUUAAUAACUUUUAGCUUAUUUUCAGACGCUAUUUCAACUAGUAUUUUAGCUUAUAAGUUAUUAAUUUAUUUUUAUAUUUAUAUUUUAUUAUUUUACUUUGAAUUAUUUUUUAUCCUUUUUUAAAUAAAACAAAUUUAUUUAAUUAAAAUAUAAUUUUUUAGAAAAAGAAGGACACAAGUCAUAAAAAAUAAAAAAAACUACAACACUCCAUUGUUUUCAAAAGUCAUAAAUCCAUAUACAUGAAGAGGGUUAAACAAAUUCAUCAAGUCUCUAUCAUUCUUUUAUAGUAUCAAACUAAAAUUAUUUUCCUAUUUUUAUAGGAUAAUAAAUUAUUACUAUAAAAAAGAUUAUAAAUUAUUAAAAAUAAAUUCAUAUAUAUAUAAUUAUAACCAAAUAACUAAAAUAGUUUUCUUAUUAACAAAUCUUAUGGGAAAAAAAUUAAUUCAAUGAGCUACCUCACAAGCUAGUUCUGUCUGGCACACCCUAGCUAUUUCUUCCUUUGAAAUAUUUUUUGUUUGAAUUGUUUAGAUUUAAAUAUAUUUUUAAUUCUUACUAAAAAAAUUUAAUUUUGUCUUUUGUCCCUGUUAAAUUAUUGUUAACUUUUUGGUCCUUAAUAAAAAAAUUUAUUUUAUUUUUUGACUUUGGAUUUAUUUAGAUAGGGCUUUAAAAAUGAAAUAAAAUUAUUUUCAAAGUUAUUUAAGAAAAAACAAAACAAAAAUAUUAUUACAAACCAAAAAGUUAAUGGAAAUUUAUCAGGAAUUAAAGAACAAAAUUUUAAGAUUUAUGAACAACCAAAAAUAUAUUUAAACAGUUUAUAAAACAAAGAGAACAUGAAAAAUCAAUCAUUAUGCUAUUCUCCUUGAACAAGAGUUAUAAUUUCCAUCUAGUACUUCUUUAUUUGUGGAUAUUGAAAUUAUUCGAUGUAACGCCUUUAAAAUAAAUUUCAGAGAGCAACUCAGCCCAUACACUAGAUUGUGUUCUACCUUGACAGUUGAAAAAAAUGCAUUAAAAAGAAGGAUUUGCCGUGAAGGUUCAAGACAAUACAUGCAUGUUUAAUUUUAAAUGAUGAUGAUAUAAACACUAUAAGGUUAUUUGUUAUUUAUUUGAUAAGUUAACUGACUGAAUAUUUAAUUCCACUCCACUACUUGCUAAAACUGACCACCCUCAUCCGAUUCACCGAAGGUUUACAAAAUUCGCUCCGUCAUGUUAUUCCAUUUCUAGUUGGUAUUUUAAAGGGAAAAAAAUGGUUAAAUAAAGAUAUGAAGCAGAAAAAUCAAAUAAAUCAUGUUUGCAGAAAAAUGAGUUCCAAGUCAUGCGUGAGGGAUGGGCUGUUGAAGUCUUGAAGCUUAAUUUAGCCACAAACUUUGCAUAGUGUUUUUAAUUUGGGUAUAAAUAUUAGUGUUUGGUUCCUCAGUAUUUCAUGUAUAUUUUCCCUUAUAGUAAACAGUUUUGAGUAGAAUAUGGAAUCAUGGAUGUGGUGUUUCCUUCUCUGUUCCCAUUUGCUCAUCCUUUAUUUUUCACCCUCUCAUUCCUUAUGCCACCCCCAUGACAACUCUGCCUUGCUCCACUUCAAAAACUCCUUCACUAUUUAUGAAGAUCCUUAUUAUUCUUAUUAUUGUGAUCAUGGUUAUUCAAAGACGACAACAUGGGAAAAUGGGAGAGAUUGUUGCUCUUGGGCUGGAGUCACCUGCCACCCCAUCUCAGGUCACGUCACUGAGCUCGACCUCAGCUGCAGUGGCCUUCACGGCAAUAUCCAUCCAAACAGUACGCUUUUCCAUCUUUCUCAUCUUCACUCACUCAACCUUGCUUUCAAUCAUUUGUAUACAUCUCAUUUGUCAUCUCUCUUUGGUGGGUUUGUGAGCCUCACACAUCUCAACUUGUCUCAUUCUGAAUUUGAAGGGGAUAUUCCUUCCCAAAUCUCUCACCUUUCCAAAUUAGUCUCACUUGAUCUCUCGUACAAUUUGUUAAAGUGAAAGGAAGACACUUGGAAGAGUUUGCUAAAAAAAUGCAACAGUUUUAAAGGUGCUUCUUUUGGAUUUUACAGAUAUGUCUUCCAUUUCAAUCAGGACACUCAAUAUGUCUUCUUCUUUGGUAACUCUUGGUCUUCUAGCAAAUGGGCUAAGCGGAAAGUUGACAGAUGGCAUUCUUUGUUUACCAAAUCUUCAGUACCUAUAUCUUUCAUUUAAUGAGGACCUUCAUGGUCAGCAGCUUCCAGAAAUGAGUUGCAGCACAACUUCUCUUGGUUUCUUAGAUCUUUCAGGUUGUGGUUUCCAAGGGUCAAUCCCUCCCUCUUUCUCUAACCUCACACAUCUUACUUCCCUGGAUCUCUCAGCUAACAACCUCAAUGGUUCAGUCCCAUCCUCACUCUUAACCCUUCCACGGCUAACCUUUCUGAAUCUAAACAAUAACCAACUCAGUGGUCAAAUCCCAAAUAUUUUUCCUAAGUCAAACAACUUUCACGAAUUGCAUUUGAGUUAUAACAACAUAGAGGGUGAGAUCCCAUCAACACUUUCAAAUCUUCAACAUCUCAUUAUCUUGGAUCUGUCACUUUGUGAUUUCCAAGGUUCAAUCCCUCCCUCUUUCUCUAACCUCAUACUUCUUACUUCCCUGGAUCUCUCAUAUAACCACCUCAACGGUUCAGUCCCAUCCUCGCUCUUAACCCUUCCACGGCUAACUUUUCUAAAUCUCAAUGCUAAUUGUCUCAGUGGUCAAAUCCCAAAUGUCUUUCUUCAGUCAAACAACAUUCACGAAUUGGAUUUGAGUAAUAACAAAAUAGAGGGUGAGCUGCCAUCAACACUUUCAAAUCUUCAACGUCUCAUUCUCUUGGAUCUUUCACAUAAUAAAUUUAUUGGUCAAAUCCCAGAUGUGUUUGUCGGGCUAACCAAAUUGAAUAGUCUCAAUCUUUCGGAUAACAAUUUAGGAGGCCCAAUCCCAUCUUCAUUAUUUGGCUUAACACAAUUUUCUUACUUGGAUUGUUCUAAUAAUAAAUUGGAGGGCCCCCUGCCGAACAAAAUAAGAGGGUUUUCAAAUCUAACAUCGUUAAGGUUAUAUGGCAACUUCCUGAAUGGAACAAUUCCUUCUUGGUGUUUAUCUUUGCCAUCUUUGGUGGAUUUAUAUCUAUCAGAAAACCAAUUCUCAGGGCAUAUUAGUGUAAUCUCAUCAUAUUCAUUGGUGAGAUUAUCUUUAUCCCACAACAAGUUACAAGGCAAUAUUCCAGAUACAAUUUUCAGCCUUGUAAACCUUACUGACUUAGAUCUAUCAUCAAACAAUUUAAGCGGAUCUGUCAACUUUCCACUUUUCUCAAAGCUUCAAAAUUUGGAAAGACUUAAUCUUUCACAUAAUAAUCAGUUAUCACUAAAUUUCAAAUCCAAUGUCAAUUAUAGUUUUUCCAGUUUAUGGAGUUUGGACUUAUCUUCUACGGGUUUAACUGAAUUUCCAAAAUUAUCAGGAAAAGUCCCAAUUUUGAAAUUACUCCAUUUGUCCAAUAAUACACUUAAAGGUAGAGUACCAAAUUGGUUGCACGACACGAACUCAUCGUUAUAUUUAUUGGACCUCUCUCAUAACCUAUUGACGCAAUCAUUGGACCAAUUCUCAUGGAACCAACACCUCGUUUACCUUGAUCUUAGUUUUAACUCAAUCACUGCUGGCUCUUCCUCAAUUUGCAAUGCAACUGCAAUUGAGGUUCUCAACUUAUCUCACAACAAGUUGACAGGAACCAUUCCACAAUGCCUUAUUAACUCAUCAACCCUGGAAGUUUUGGAUCUGCAACUGAACAAGCUUCAUGGCCCUUUGCCAAGUACCUUUGCAAAGAACUGUCAGCUCAGAACUCUAGAUCUCAAUGGCAACCAAUUAUUAGAAGGUUUUCUGCCAGAAUCUUUGUCCAAUUGCAUUAAUCUGGAGGUUUUAAAUCUUGGAAACAAUCAAAUAAAGGAUGUGUUUCCCCAUUGGCUUCAAACUCUACCAGAAUUGAAAGUAUUGGUUUUGAGAGCCAACAAGUUGUACGGUCCCAUUGAGGGUUCAAAGACCAAGCAUGGAUUCCCCAGUUUAGUUAUUUUUGAUGUCUCUUCCAACAACUUCAGCGGCUCAAUACCAAAUGCCUACAUAAAAAAAUUUGAAGCCAUGAAGAACGUUGUUCUAUAUCCCGAUUGGCAAUACAUGGAAAUUUCUAUUUCUUUUGCAGAAACCAACUACCAUGAUUCUGUGACUAUAACAACAAAAGCAAUUACUAUGACAAUGGACAGAAUUCGAAAUGACUUUGUAAGCAUUGAUUUAUCCAAAAACAGAUUUGAAGGAGGGAUUCCAAAUGCCAUUGGAGAGCUUCAUUCACUCAGAGGACUCAACCUUUCCCAUAACAGGCUUAUUGGUCCUAUUCCCCAGUCCAUGGGAAAUUUGAGAUACUUAGAAUCAUUGGAUCUCUCCUCAAAUAUGCUCAUUGGUGGGAUACCUACAGAAUUAAGCAAUUUGAACUUUCUUGAAGUCCUAAAUCUUUCCAAUAACCAUCUUGUGGGAGAAAUACCUCGAGGACAACAGUUCAAUACUUUUCCCAAUGAUUCCUACAAGGGAAACUCUGGGUUAUGUGGACUCCCACUGACAAUCAAAUGCAGCAAGGACCCUGAACAACAUUCUCCACCUUCAACUACCUUCAGGAGAGAACCAGGAUUUGGAUUUGGUUGGAAACCAGUGGCUAUAGGAUAUGGAUGUGGAGUGGUCUUUGGAGUGGGAAUGGGAUGUUGUGUAUUGUUAAUAGGAAAGCCUCAAUGGCUUGUGAGAAUGGUCGGAGGUAAACUCAAUAAAAAGGUGAAAAGGAAGACAAGGAUGAGAUCUAAUGAAAAUGGUAGCAGAAUGAAUUAGUUGAUAUAUGGCAUGACUGGAGAAUGUCUUGUUCCAUACCUGCCAUCUUUGAAAACAAAACUUAAGGGCAAGAACUUUAUCACACUGCAUUGCAUGGGAGAUCUGGUUCAAAGUUUUGCUGUAAUAUGAAUGUGUUAUACUUUUGCUUUUUGUGUUCUUUUUUUGUUUGUUAUGUGUAGAAGAGUGCAUGUACUUCAUUUGCCUUGAGCUUGCAGUUUUGAUUUAUUUAAUACGUAUAACUGUAGCAUUAAUUGGUUGUAUAAUAAUAGAUGUUGUAUAUUUUUAAAAAUGAUAUGUAUUGGCCAAUGCUAAAAUAUUUUGUAUCUUAACAGUAUGCAGUUGUCUCAUUUCAUUGAAGGAGCUCAAUUCACGGUUUUAGCUUGUAUUGUAGUCUAUUUACUUAAUUUGCUAAAUUAUCAAACUGUUAUUCAAAAUAAAAUAAGCAUUAGUGACUUUUAUAAUAAUUACCUUAAUGAUUAAAUAUAUUUUUAUUUUCAAUAAAUAGUUGAUUUUUUUGUUUAUUUCCCAAUAAAAAAAAUUAUUUUGAGUACCUUAUAAAAUAAUAAAUUUUUUUGUUUCCCAGAUAUUUUUUUUGUAAUCCCUAAUAAAUUAGCACAUUUUUGUUUACUCCCUCUUAAAUUAACGAAUUUUGUUUUAAUCCUGAUUAAUAAUAAAUAAAAAAAAUUAUUAAGAAAUAAAUAAAUACACAAUUUGUGAAUUUAUCAUGGACUAAGAAAAGUAUCAAGGAUCAAAAUAAAAUGAUUUUUUUAUUUGAAACUCAACGGAAAGUAAAAUUUUAUUAAAAAUUAAAUAUUUAUUAGUUAUUAAAAUUAUAGUUAAAACUUAUCUUAAAGAUUAAAUAUAUUAUAAUUUUUAUUUGGUUCACAACAUAUAAAUAUUUACCAUUGUUAAAAUAUACUAUAAUUUCUCUUAAAUUAUUUUAAUGAAAAUAAAUAGUAAAAUAGUAGGAACUUAAUCUAAGUUACGUUUAGUAAAUAUUGGGUAAAAUUGGUAAGAGUGUGAGAAACUUAAUUAUUUAUCACUACCAAAUAUGUGGAUCAACUAAUGUGGGUUGUUGAGCCAGAGACUCAUGAGAAAAAAUAUUGUCUCAUAGUGAGAAGAAUAAAUCAUAAAAAAUAGAAAAGAUAAUAAAUUUGUUCAAUAUGAUUUAGACCUUCAUCCUUGUAUUAACAAUCUGAUACAUUUUAAGGACAAUUUAGACAAACUUACAAACAUUCUCUUCUAACGAUUCCCCUAUCUUAGUUAGGGUAGUGAUAUUUUCUUCACACUAGAUGUGGUGAUUCUUUUUAUCUCAAAAAAUUUCUAUUUACAGAUCUAACUAAUCUUAAAUGAAUUCAAAUCCAUAAUUUACAAAUAAUAUAUUUAAUUCUAAAUGGUAUCCUAAAAAUAAGAUAAUAUGUUUUUAAAAAUCUAAACAAUAUCCUAUAAAUUUGAUAUUCAUUGAUUGGACCAUCAUUAAUUCCUACAUACCCAACCUCUAUAUAAGUUUUUAUGACAAGUUAGACAAACUUACAAAUAUUUCCUCUACAUGACUCAAUCUCUCUUAGGGUGUUGACCUAGGCUGAGUGAUUAUUCUCAUCUCAUAAAUCUUAUUUUAUAGACAUAACAUCCUAAUCUUAAAUAAGAAAACAAAUAUCUAAGGGUGUGUUAGGUUUGCAUUUUUAUUUUUUAUUUUCAUUUCCUGUUUUUAUUUUCUGAAAACUGUUUUCAUUUUUCAAAUAUUAGAAUUCUAAAAACAUGUUUGGUUUGAUUUUUUGUUUUAUGUUCUCAGGAAAUAAAAACACUGAAAAUUUAUGAUAUAUUAACUUCUUGUUUUUUUUUGUAUUUUUAGAUUUGCUUAAAAUUACAUUCUUUGCCAUUACGUUUUUAUUUUAUCCAAAAUAAGGGUCCUGUUUUAACUGAAAACGAGAUGUUAUUGUUUUCAUUUUCUGGUUGUUUCCUAUUUUCAUUUUCACUCAAAAUGUUUUUAAAAAUCGAAUCAAACACAUCUUCAUCAUUAUUUUCUGUUUUCAGUGAAAAUGAAAACAAAAAACAACCAAAUCAAACACCUCCUAAUUUAUUAAUAAUAUAUUUAAUUUUAACAACAUUCUAAAAAUAAGAUAAUAUUUUGGUUAAGAAAACAAUAUCUGACAAAUUUGAGAAUACAAAUUUAAAUUAUUUCCUAAUAAAGUCAUCGAUAUGUAGUUAAAUACUUAGAAAAAGAGUUUCAUCAUCCAUAAUAAUCAUAUUGACUCAAACAAGAUUAUCUUCAAUCAAAUAUACCUAUCUACGGAAGAAAGACCUAUGUAAGAUAAAUCUAACAUGAAGCCAAGUUGGACUUAUGUAGAUCAAUUAACCAACUAAUCCCUAUGCCCACUCAUCACCUAAGCUCAACCAAACUCGCUUAAGCCCCAACCCUGCAUCGCUUAAGCUCUUAGCCAACACCACUUAAGCUACAUCAAAAAACAUGUUAGUUUUUGUGCCCAUUCUAGCUUAAGCGCUACCCAACACCACUUAAGCUACUUCAAACUAAUUUACUCAAAUUAAAAAAAUAAUAAUGAUUCUACUAUUUAAUCACUACACAUUAAAUACCUAAUUUAUUAUCCGCUUAUCAAGCAACUGGUCCAUUUAUCUUUUUUAUUUGUUUAUUACAUGUAAUUUUUAUUUCUUUUAUUUUUUAAAAUCUAAAAUUUUGAUCUCUAUUUUAAAAUAAAGAUAUUUAGUCUAUUAUUUUUUACAAUCUAAAAUUUUAGUUUUCUAAUUUAAAAUAGAAAUAUUAGUCUUUUAUAUUUAUAAAAUAUGUAAUUUUAGUUAUCCCAACUAAAAGCAUUGUCUGCUAAGAGCUUAAUUUUAAUUAUGAUACAGAUUAAAUAAAUUAUCUUGUAUCACAUUAUUAAAUUUGAAUCACAUUAAGUUAGCUUCUUAUUAAUUAACGCUAAAUGAUUAUGUGGAUAUAGGCAUACGGAUGAUUAAAAUGAUGAAUUUUAUAAAAUUAAGUAAUUAUAUGUUUUUAUUUUAAAAUAGAAGUAUUACAAUUGUAAAAUAUAAAAAUUAAGAAGAUUAAAUAUUUUUUAAAAUAUAGAUAUUAAAAUUAAAUAUUUUGAAAAUAGGAAAAAAAAUAUAUUUAAGUUUUCUUUUACCGGAGGUCCAUAUGUCCAGUACUUAGAAAUCUCGUCAUGAUAAAAAUGCGUCACUAGAGCAUAAUAUAAUAGCAUGAAGAACGUCAUUAUAAUUACAUUUAAGCCAUGAAGAACGUUGUUAUAUAUGCCAAUCCGCAAUACAUGGAAACUUCUGUUAUUGUUAGUGACACCAACAACAUUGAUCAUGAAACCAACUACGCUGAUUCUGUGACUGUAACAACAAAAGCAAUUACUAUAUGAAAAUGGAUAAAAUUUGAGAUGACUUUGUAAGCAUUGAUUUAUCGCACAACAAAUUUGAAGGAGAGAUUCCAAAUGCCAUUGGAGAGCUUCAUUCACUCAGAGGGCUAAACCUUUCCCAUAGCAGGCUUAUUGGUCCUAUUCCCCCAUCCAUGUGAAAUUUGACAAAUUUAGAAUCAUUGGAUCUCUCCUCAAGUAUGCUCACUGGCGGGAUACCUAGAGAAUUAAGCAAUUUGGACUUUCUUGAAGUCCUAAAUCUUUCCAAUAACCAUCAUGUGGGAGAAAUACCUCAAGGAAAACAGUUCAGCAGUACUUUUUCCAAUGACUCCUAUGAUAGAAACUUGGGGUUAUGUGGACUCCCAUUGACAGCAGAAUGAAGCAAGGACCUUGAACAACAUUCUCCACCUUCACUAACCUUUGGGGGAGAACAGGGAUUUGGAUUUGGUAGAAAGCAGUGGCUAUAAUGCGGAAUGGUCUUUGGAAGGGGAAUGGGAUGUUGUGUAUUGUUAAUGGGAAAGCCUCAAUGGCUUGUGAGAAUGGUUGGAGGUCAACUCAAUAAAAAGGUGAAAUGGAAGACAAGGAUGAGAUCUAAUGAAAAUGGUAGCAGAACGAAUUAGUUGACAUGUGGCAUGACUGUAGAAUGUCUUCUUGCUCACCUUCCCGUUGAAAUUCAAUUCUGUCUUGUUGGAAAACAAAACUUAAGGGCAAGAACCUUAUCACACUGCAUUGCAUAUGCAUGGGACAUCUGAUUCAAAGUUUAGUUGUAAUUGUAAUAUGGUGUUGUACUUUUUUUUCUUUGUGUUCGAUAGAUGAGUGUGAUAUACUUUUUUUUUUACUUCCAUUGCCCCAGAAACUCGGGUCUGAAUCAUCCAUAAGUUUGAUAAUUUUUCUGUUCAUUAAUACGCUUAGAUUGUUUUAUUUUUUUUAACUUUUUUAUAUUGGUGAAUAGUAUCAAGUUAAGUAGUGAAUAAUGUGUUGACAAUCAACAAUCAUUUCACUAAUAUGCUGCAUAUUACAAAAUUGUAGCAGUCAUUAAUACCAAUUUGCAUUAUCGACGCUAUUUUGUUCCCAUUGCUGUUGUGGAAGUACUUUUGCUCCAGACAAGGAAUGGAAAUUGACCAGGAAUUUUGUUUUUUUGUGCCAUCGAUUGAGUUUGUAUAAGUGAAGAUAUGUUGAUCUUCUGACCACCUUUUUUUUCGAAAUUAUAAUAAUUACUAGUUCGCUAUCUAAAUUCAUGGGAAAUUGAAAAUUGAUUCCCACGAAACUGUAUUCUUGUUCUACAUUACACUUCUCAGGUGUUCUUAGAAGUCCUCUUCCUACUGGUAAGCCAUAUCAUAUUCACUCUCCCUUGAAUUCUGAUUUUUACUUAUAAAUAAGUUAAUGUCUAAGAGCAGGGUUGAAUGAGCGUAAAAAUUAGUUUGUAUGCUUUAAAUUAAUAUUAAGCAUUGUGUUACUUCUAUGAUUGAGACAGCUAAUAGAGGAUGGGGUUGGAUUUUUGAAAUAAGGGGCGCAGAUACAAGUCUAGAUCCUCUUUAGUUUGUGAACUAAAAUUUUUGUUUUGGUUUUGCCUAUCUCUUAAGCUAUUAAAAUUAUUCUAGAAUCCACCUAAAGUUUUUUAUUCAAAAAUAAGUGUUGGAGUCUUAAGAUAAUGAUAUCAUUAAGAUAAUGAUAUCAAGUUUAUUUAUGUAAUUUGUUUUUGGUGACUUAUUGCAGAAAAUCUUCUUGAUAUUUACUUUCUUGGAUUUUUCAAAAAAUUGAUAUUAGAGUCAAUCUUCGACAUAGUGACCGGUUUAGACAAGGAAGAUGACGUCGAUGAAUUUAUGGAUAUAAAGUUUAUUGUAUCAAAAGUCUUUCUGUCACCUGAAUUCAUGCAUAAAUGUCACGUAACAGAGUUGUAGGUGUUAUGUACAAUAAUGCAAGAUACUAAAACAUGUUAUGACAAUGGCUAGAAGAGCUAGAGACACUAAAAAUUAAGUUUCAUGAGUCACUAUUAAAUAUUCUUAGAUUGAAAAUGACUUUCGGUCUUGACUUGAGAGCCUUUUUCUUAGUUUACACCUGGCUGUGCCAUUAACAAUUGAUAAUGCUGUCUAGCAAGCUAUAUUGUGAAGAUAAAUACUUCUCUUCAUAUUUGUCCAUUUUACAUAUUUCCUGGUGUCAAAAUAUUAUUUUUAUUGUAUUUUUAUAUCCUUUAAAAUAAAUUUGCUUUUGGAGUUUUCUCUUGGACGAGAUACCAUUCAAAGAAUUUCACAUAAUGUAAAUGCACGGGGUUCUUUUUUAAUUUUGAUUUUGUGGCAUUUAUCUCUAUAUUUGGUUGAUAUAUUUGAAACUUGAUAGCGCGAUUAGCUGAUGUAUCAGUCAACGGACCCUAGUAUGGAAAAAGAAUACGGUGAAGACAGAAUUUUUCCACAAACUAAUGUAUCAGCGUGAGUUUCCUUUAAUUUUCUUUUGAUUUAAAUAUUUUUGUGGACGUGUUUUAAUUUUCAUUUUUUGAUGUGAUUGGCGAGCUUAAUUUUCUAACCCAUAUUUUAAGGGUUGGCAGACUUGGAAAUCAACGCUUGGAUUUAAUUGAACUGGCUGUUUAUACAUGUUUUGUUUUUAGAAUCAUAUCACAUAUAUGUAGUCUGUUGGUGAAAGUAUAUAGUGGCAGCUUAUGUUUUGGGCAGAAAUUGUUUCCUCAAACUUUCAUGUGAUAAGACAAAUUAACUUCUGAAUUUUCACAAUAAUAUUCUUCUAUGCUAUCAUAAGAAGAAGAAAAAACCACCAAUAACUUGUAGAUGCAUGUUCUCUUAAACAGGUGGUAUUCUUCUAGACCCAAAAAAAAAGGUGGUAUUCUCUGUGUUCAAUUAUAUCUUUUGGCUGGGAUCUUCCUUUUUCAUAUGUUGGGGUUUAAAAUAUUUAAUAGGGAUUAAUUAACAGGAACAUAUCCAGAAAAUAAUAACAAGCUUAAACAUACAAAAUUAUGUUAAUUAAUAAAUUUCAUCACUAUAUAUUUUAUAUAAAAAAAUUAAUUAACCUGUAUAUAUAAUUUUUUAAAGAAAAAUAUGAGAGGGAAACCAUUCUUGUUUCAUUUGAUACUGCCAUGUUAAUCAAUCAUGUCUAAUAAAUAUUUUCUCCGAUUUCUAUUAUAAAAAAAUUAUUUCAUAUUUAUUAAAAAAUUAAUUACUUUUAUUAAAUUGUAUUAAUAUUAAAAUAUUUUUUUUCUAAAUUAUUCUUCACUAAAAGUUGAUAUGAAGCAUAAAAAUAUCCAGCCUUAUAUAUAUUGUAGGCCAACACACAUUUCAUUUGCUUUUCUUUAUGAAAAAAGUUAAAUUAAUAGAGGAUGGGAUUGCAUUUUGGAAAUAAAGGGCUCACAUACAAGUACCUAGGUACAGUUUAGUUUGUGGCCUUAAACUCUGUUUUGGUUUUACCUUUCCUCUUGUGCUAUUAAAAUUCUUCUAGCAUCCGUUCACAAGUUUUUUAUUCAAAAGUAUUUGACGUACUGUUAGUUUAGUUGUUGAGAGUCUUUUUGUACUCCAGAAUUAACUAUGCCAUUGACAAUGGAUAAUUCUGUCAAGCAUGCUAUAUUGUUAAGAAAAAUACUUCUCUCCUAGUUUGUUCAAUUUUACAAAUAUACGUAUAUCAAAUUUUGAUGGUGGUCUCAUUUUUUUGCCUCUAUUCCUUAUCUGCUUCCCUCACUUGGAAAAGUAAAAUGGUAUCAACAUAUUUUUUUUAUUGUAUUUUUAUAUUCUUUUGAAAUAAAUUUACUUUAGAGGAGUGUUUGGACCAGAUACCAUACAAACCAAUUAAAAAAUUUAAAUGCACGGUGUCUUUUUUAAUUUUUAUUUUGUGGCAUUUUUCCUCUAUAUUUGAUUGGUAUUUUUGAAACAUGAUUGCGAUUAGCUGAUGUAUAAAGUCAACGAACCCUAGUGUGGAAAAAUAAUACGGUGAAGACAGUUUUUCAACAACUAAUUUUAUCAGCCAGAGUUUCCUUUAAUCUUCUUUUGAUGUGAUUAGAGUGUCUAAUUUUCUAACCCAUAUUUUAAAGGUUGGAAGACUCGGAAAACAACUGUUUGGUUCAACUAGGAUUGAUUAUAUAUAUAAAACUCUGUGAAUUGAAUAAUAGUUGGGGGCGGGACCUAGGAUUUAUCUAGACAUAGCUUUCCAACUCUUAACAGCUAAAACUUCUAGACACAACCCCAAUUAGAAGAUCAACAGUACAUACACCUCAACUCAUGAAAAAAACCUCUAUAUUCCAUAGAUAAACUUAAAUUUCUCAAUUUAGGAUAUCUACAGUCCUAUACAACUGAUCAAGCGUACUCUCUAUCAAUUAAUGGAAUGUUGAGUAAUUUGAUCAAAUGAAGUUUCCAAUACAGGGUACCUCUUGCCCUUCAGUUUAGAGGUCUAAGCCAAUCACUUUAGGUAGGAUUUAAUCAAACCAUGACUUAAUUCAAUUAUAUUUUAAUGGAUUAAUUUGGGUCAACGGACGUAAUAAUUUAAUUUUUUUUUCUUUUUUAAAACCUAAUAUUUUGUAGAAAUUAAAUUUUUUAUUAAAUAAAUUAAAUAUAAUUAUUUCUUAUUAUAUUUUAUUAAAAAGAAAUUUUUGUGAUGUGACCGCAUCUUACUCCGCUAACUCCUAUUUAUCCAAAGGAAUUGGGAAAUUAAGUGUAUCAUAUCACAAGCUCUUUUUAAGGUUUAGCUUUAUUGGAAGAUCUUAUAAAUAGGAGAAAAAGUAAACUAUGCUGGAAAAAAAUGUUAAGCAAUGAAGUAGACAUUAAAGAAAAACAAAAAGAAAUAUUGAAUAGAAUUGUAUUGUUUAUAAUUUUUUACGUUAUCUUACUGUUUCUACUUUCUGCAAUACUUUUAUUUUAAUUUUUUAUUUAAUGUCUAAGAGUACCCGUAGUUGACAAGACACUUCUUGUAAACAAGAAGUCAUAUAAUAGAUAACUAGAAUAAGUUGAAUUUGGAUAAUAAUUUGAGUAUUCUCUGUCAUUGUGAGAGUUGUUCUUCUUUAAUAACUUUGAUUUUAUUAACAUAUUGCGAUUAUGAUCAAAUUCUACUUGUUCACUUUGCAUGAAUUUAACAUGAUCCUAUAAAUCGAUUCGUAUUAUUGUUUAUCAGACAAUAUAAUUAAUUGUUAGUACAGUGACCUGUGAGCACAUCUAUUUGUAUACAUAUGGUAUAGAUAAACUAUUGGUUUUUUCAAUUUGAGAACAAAUCUCCUAAUAUAAUUUUUGUUCAUUUCUAAUAUUUUACAAAAAUAUUGAUGUAACCGUAUUGUCAUCUCUAUUUUAAAUUUGGCAAUAACACAUCAAACUAAAUUAAAUAAAAUCGAAUUUCAAAUUUGGGAAUAACACAUUAUCUAAUAAUGACCUCCAAAUCAAUUUCGAUGACAAUGGUGUAACAACCUUAAUUAAUAACUUCUUUGACAUAUCUGCGUUCCUUCUUUGCAUAAAUUAACUUCCAAGUCAAUGCAAAACGUUUUGCAUGGGGUAGAAAAUGGGAAACUUUUUGGGAUACAAAUACCAAUUAUAUAUGUAAGUUCUAAAAGAUAGAAACUAUAUAACUCUAUUACUAUAAUAAAGAUCCAUUCUUUUUUAAUUGACAAAUUAUUUAGUUUAUUAAUUUUAUUUAUUCAAAUUAAUUUAUUCAAUGCUAUUUAAUUUCAGUCAACAAAUUGCUAUUUAAUUUAUUCAUCAAUACUCACUCACUUGCUAAAACUUAUUAUCCGUCUUCACUGAAGUCUAAAGGUUUACAAAUUAGAAAAUGCAUUUUAAAGAGAAAAAUUAAAACGAUAAAAUAGAUAUAUGAAGUAGAAAAAUCAAAUAAAUCAUGUUUGCAAAGAGUUCCUAGAGAUAAUAUAAUGAAAGGGUUGAGAAAUGAAUGUUGAUUUGCAUGAGGGAUGGGUUGUUGUAGUGUAUACUCCUUGCGUGUUAACAAAAUUAAUUUUAAAUGUAAUUGAUUUUGUAAAAUUGAUUUUGAAGUAAUUAAUGUUUGUAUGUUUUAUUAUAAAAUUAAAUUAACAAUAAAAUUUGUUAUAAAAUUUUAGAUUCAAUACAGAAAUUGUUUAAAACAUAUAAAAAUAUAUUUAAAAUUAAUUAUAGAUUCAAAAUCAAUUUUUCAUCGUGAAUCAAACAAUAAAAAGUCUCAAAAUGGUUGAUGAAGGAUAAUUUUUUUAAAAAAUUUAUCAUUUGGAGAUAAAAUUUAAGUUGAUAUUCCAAAAGGAAUAAGUCUUAAUAAAUAAUGCAACUUCUAAAUUAAAAAUAGUGAAAUUUGUUAUAACUUUUUUUUAUUUUUUACAUUAAAGUCAUAAGAAAUUUUAUGGACUUCAUUUUUAUUUUUUAAAUACGUCUAAAAUUUAAUUCUCAUAGACAUUAAAGUCAUAAUUUUUUUUAUUGAAUUCGUAAAUUAUUUUAUGACUUUAAUUUAUUUUGCAUCUGAUAUAUUUUUUAAAAUUAUAAAUAAUUUUUAUUUUGGUUAUUUAAUAAAUUAAUGAUUUUAGUUUUAUUUAAUAUUUUGGUUAUUUUGCUAAAACCACCCUCAUCCGAUUCACCAAAGGUUUACAAAAUUCGCUCCGUCAUGUUGUUUCAUUGCUAGUUGGUAUUUUAAAGGGAAAACAUGGUUAAACAAAGAUAUGAAGUAGAAAAAUAAAAUAAAUCAUGUUUGCAGAAAAAAUGAGUUCCAAGUCAAGUCAAUUUAAAUAGCAAUUGCUGGGACAACUUUGAUAGCGUGUAAAAGGAUCAUAAGAUUUAUGGUCAAUUUGCGUGAGGUUUGGGCUGUUGAAGACUUGAAGCUUAAUUUAGCCACAAAUUUUGCAUAUCAUCUUUUAAAUUUGGCUAUAAAUAUUAAUGUUUGGUUGCUCAGUAUUAAUUUCAUGUAUAUUUGAGUAGAAAAUGGAAUCAUGGAUGUGGUGUUUCCUUCUCUGUUCCCAUUUGCUCAUCCUUUAUUUUUCACCCUCUCAUUCCUUAUGCCACCCCCAUGACACCUCUGCCUUGCUCCACUUCAAAAACUCCUUCACUAUUUAUGAAGAUCCUUAUUAUUCUUAUUAUUGUGAUCAUGGUUAUUCAAAGACGACAACAUGGGAAAAUGGGACAGAUUGUUGCUCUUGGGCUGGAGUCAGCUGCAACCCCAUCUCAGGUCACGUCACUGAGCUCGACCUCAGCUGCAGUCGCCUUUACGGCAAUAUCCAUCCAAACAGUACGCUUUUCCAUCUUUCUCAUCUUCACUCACUCAACCUUGCUUUCAAUGAUUUUAAUUAUUCUCAUUUGUCAUCUCUCUUUGGUGGGUUUGUGAGCCUCACUCAUCUCAACUUGUCUAAUUCUCACUUUGAAGGGGAUAUUCCUUCCCAAAUCUCUCACCUUUCCAAAUUAGUCUCACUUGAUCUCUCUGGUAAUAAUUUGUUAAAGUGGAAGGAAGACACUUGGAAGAGAUUGCUCCAAAAUGCAACAGUUUUAAGGGUGCUUGUUUUGGAUCAAACAGAUAUGUCUUCCAUUUCAAUCAGGACACUCAAUAUGUCUUCCUCUUUGGUUACUCUUAGUCUAGGACUGACUUGGCUAAGAGGAAACUUGACAGAUGGCAUUCUCUGUUUACCAAAUCUUCAGCACUUGGAUCUUUCACUUAAUCGGGCCCUUGAAGGUAAGCUUCCAGAAGUGAGUUGCAGAACAACUUCUCUUGAUUUCUUAGAUCUUUCACUUUGUGGUUUCCAAGGGUCAAUCCCUCCCUCUUUCUCCAACCUCAUACAUCUCACUUCCCUGGACCUCUCAGGUAACAACCUCAACGGUUCAAUCCCUCCCUCUUUCUCCAACCUCAUACAUCUUACUUCCUUGGAUCUCUCAUAUAACAACCUCAACGGUUCAAUCCCAUCCUCACUCUUAACCCUUCCAUGGCUAAACUUUCUGUAUCUAAACUAUAACCAACUCAGUGGUCAAAUCCCAGAUGCCUUUCCUCAGUCAAACAGCUUUCACGAAUUGCAUUUGAGUGAUAACAAAAUAGAGGGUGAGCUGCCUUCAACACUUUCAAAUCUUCAACAUCUCAUUCACUUGGAUCUUUCACAUAAUAAAUUGGAGGGCCCUCUGCCUAACAAUAUAACAGGGUUUUCAAACCUAACAUCGUUAUGGUUAUCUGGAAACUUACUGAAUGGGACAAUUCCUUCUUGGUGUUUAUCUUUGCCAUCUUUGGUGGAUUUAGAUCUAUCAGGCAACCAACUCUCUGGGCAUAUUAGUGCAAUCUCAUCAUAUUCCUUGGAGACAUUGUUUUUAUCCCACAACAAGUUACAAGGCAAUAUUCCAGAAUCAAUUUUUAGCCUUCUAAACCUUACUCACUUAGAUCUAUCAUCAAACAAUUUAAGUGGAUCUGUCAAAUUUCAUCGUUUCUCCAAGCUUCAAAAUUUGGAAAAACUUCACCUUUCAUGGAAUGAUCAGUUAUCACUAAAUUUCGAAUCCAAUGUCAAUUAUAGUUUCUCUAAUUUAAAGUUGUUGAACUUAUCUUCUAUGGUUUUAACUGAAUUUCCAAAAUUAUCGGGAAAAGUCCCAAUUUUAGAAUCACUCUAUUUGUCCAAUAACAAACUUAAAGGUAGAGUGCCACAUUGGUUGCAUGAAGUAUCGUUAUCUGAAUUGAACCUUUCUCAUAACCUAUUGACGCAAUCAUUGGACCAAUUCUCAUGGAACCAACAACUCGGUUACCUUGAUCUUAGUUUUAACUCAAUCACUGGUGACUUCUCUUCCUCAAUUUGCAAUGCAAGUGCAAUUGAGAUUCUCAACUUGUCUCACAACAAGUUGACAGGAACCAUUCCACAAUGCCUUGCAAACUCAUCAUCCCUUCUAGUUUUGGAUCUACAACUGAACAAGCUUCAUGGCACUUUGCCAAGUAUCUUUUCAAAGGACUGUCGGCUCAGAACUCUGGAUCUCAAUGGCAACCAACUAUUAGAAGGUCUUUUGCCAGAAUCUUUGUCCAAUUGCAUUGAUCUGGAGGUUUUAGAUCUUGGAAACAAUCAAAUAAAGGAUGUGUUUCCCCAUUGGCUUCAAACUCUACCAGAAUUGAAAGUAUUGGUUUUGCGAGCCAACAAGUUGUACGGUCCCAUUGUCGGUUUAAAGAUCAAGCAUGGAUUCCCCCGUUUAGUCAUCUUUGAUGUCUCUUUCAACAACUUCAGCGGCCCAAUACCAAAAGCCUACAUACAAAAAUUUGAAGCGAUGAAGAACGUUGUUAUAGAUACCGAUCUGCAGUACAUGGAAAUUUCUAUUGGAGCUAAAAAGAUGUACAGUGAUUCUGUGACUAUAACAACAAAAGCAAUUACUAUGACAAUGGACAAAAUUCCAAAAGGCUUUGUCAGCAUUGAUUUAUCAAAAAACGGAUUUGAAGGAGAGAUUCCAAAUGCCAUUGGAGAGCUUCAUGCCCUCAGAGGGCUCAACCUUUCCCAUAACAGAAUUAUUGGUCCUAUUCCCCAAUCCAUGGGAAAUUUGACAAACUUAGAAUCAUUGGAUCUCUCCUCAAAUAUGCUCACUGGUGGGAUACCUACGGAAUUAAGCAAUUUGAACUUCCUUGAAGUCCUAAAUCUUUCCAAUAACCAUCUUGCGGGAGAAAUACCUCGAGGACAACAGUUCAGUACUUUUACCAAUGAUUCCUAUGAGGGAAACUCAGGGUUAUGUGGACUCCCACUGACAAUCAAAUGCAGCAAGGACCCUGAACAACAUUCUCCAACUUCAACUAC
rnacentral:lncRNA from 1 species